rnacentral:lncRNA from 1 species
ACCCUGGUCCAUUUCACAGCAAAUGGCCCCAAAUGGUGUUUAUCCCGCUCAUUAGGAGCCUGUAUCAAUUAAGCAGGCCUGGCUGAGCAGCCUGUCCAGGUCUGCGUCUGCUGGGCUGGCGAGUCUGUGUUCUCCUCACCCGCAAGCAGGCUGGGACACCCCACGGCCCUCGCCACCGCGGAGAGGCCCUGGUGCUUUCCACGAGACCAGGACAGAGCUCUGACAUCAGAGAGAAUCGUUGUGUGAUGCUUGCACUUCAUGGCUUUUUUUUUUUUUUUUAAGAUGUUAUUUAUUCAUGAGAGAUAUAGAAAGACAGAGGCACAGGCAGAGGGAGAAGCAGGCUCCCUGUGAGGAUCCUGAUGCGGGACUCGAUCCCAGGACACCGGGAUCACGACCUGAGCCAAAGGCAAACACUCAGCCACCGAGCCACCCAGGUGUUUCUACUUCACAGCUUUUUAAAAGCUUAUCAUCUGGUUCAGACUCACAACUCUAAGCUGCUGGUGCCCUGAGCCUUUUAGUUUUUGUUUUUAACCAGAAGAACCUCCCUCUUCUCUUCCUCCCCUGCUUCCCAGCCAGUGCCCUACAUGAGAAACCUUUCUCCAUCUUACUUGUGCACCCUCAGCUUGACCUUUUCCCCUUGCAAGGAAGCGAGGUCAGGGCUUCAGGACCUUCUCUGCAGGGGCUGCAGGGGUCUUGGGCCUGGGGUGGGCAGCAGGGAGUCCUGUGUACUGGCACUGCCCUGGUACCUGUUGUCUGUUGGCAGAGGCCACUUUUCCUCAAGGGACUCGCCUGGGCCCCAGGAUGGCGCCCAGAUCUGCUGAUGUGAGCUGGUUGCUGAACAAUCAGUAGUACGUGAAAUGUUUCUCAGAGGAAUUAGCUGCCACUUCCUAAGCAGAAAUGUUGCAAUGCCCUGAGUUACUGGAUGGAGUGGUUGUCUCAAUCGGGGUGGGAAACCUCACCUGUCAUUAGCAACAGAAGAACUUAUUUAUGCUUCUGGCUGUGUAAAAAUCAUUACCUGACAGGAGAAGCCUACAGAGGCAAAGCUCUACAUGCCACAAAGAUGGAGAUAUUAAUGGAGGGCACACACUGAGAAUGACACUUCCAUUUUCCAGAAGCAUAAAAUGGUAUUUUUUCCCCAUAGAAAUUGUGAAAAAGAGAAGCUAUUAUGGUUCAACAUUUAGACAGGCAUUAAAGCACUUUUGAUACAAAUUGAUUUUUUUUUUUUUUACUCCCGUGGACUGAAUUCAUUAGCAAAUGAGUUGGAUUUCCUACUUUCAGGAUCCGGACAAACAGGAAGGUUGUUCUAGUGUCUCCUUUCUCUUUCCCACUUUGAUCCUCUUGAAUCUGUGCUGUCCAGAACUGUAGCCAUUAAUGAUAUGUGGCUAUCCAAAGAAAAAUUAAAAUAAUAUAAAAUUACAAACUAAAUUCCUCAGUUGUGCCAGCCACAUUUCAUUCAAAUGCUUGACAGUCACACAUAGUUGGCACAGAUAUAGAACAUUACCAUCCUCACAGAAUAUUCUAUUUUUUUAGGUUUGUAUAUUUUUUUUUUAGUAAUUUCUACACCCAACAUGGGGCUUGAACUCACAACCCUGAGAUCAAGGGUCCUGCACUCUACCAAUUGAGCCAGGCAGGUGUCCCCAGAAUGUUCUAUGGUACUACUAAUUGACCUUUUUAUUAAAGUUAACUGUGUGUUUUGGGGUAGUAUUUAUUUACUUAUUUAUUUUUACAUAUUUUAUUUCUUUAUUUGAGGGAGAGGGAGGGACAGAGAGAGAGAGAGAGAGAGAGAAUCUGAAGCAGACUCCUCGCUGAGCACAGGGCCUGACAUGCAGUUCCAUCUACCACCCAGAGAUCAUGACCUGAGCUGAAACCAAGAGUUGGUCACUCAACUGACUAAGCCACCAGGGGCCCCUGGGGUAGUAUUUAUUAAACAGUACUUUUGUAGCCUAUAUGUAAUUUAAAUAACAAGUCACUGAAACACUUAGUAGUAUUUCCUCCUAAAUCUCUUCUUCCCCAGACCCCUCCACAUGCACAGACCUCACUGCCUCAAUGUCCCAGCUACCUAGCUACAUGAAGUUGUUUCUUAUGUGGUUCUUCUUAGAAAUGAAAAGUUCUCCCAGAUUUUCUAAAUUGUAGGUCUGCAAGCCCAGGAGAAGGUAUAAAUGUUUGAUGGCAGCAGACAAGUGCCAUUGGCCAAUGGCCAAUGGCCUCACUGUGUCAGGGCCACUGCUGCUGGCCCCUCUUCCAACUGCCUUGUGAACCACCUCAGAUCCUUAUCAGCCUGACCACCCAUUGCCCCUGGAGACCAUCCUUUUAUUGGUGCGACAGUGUCCAUGUGGCAAAAAUGUGACCUGAGUCACUAAAGACAAAACUUCCUUAUGCCUACAAGGUGCUGCUGAAUGGCUGUGGGCCUCCAGUGGCCGUCAACUCAGGUUACACGUGGCUUUAUCAAGGGAAUUUAAUGGAAAGUGAUUUCUUCGCUACAGUAUUUGCAAUCAGUGUAAAAGUAGGUUUGGUCUUUUUUGCUUUGUUUUUAAUUCUGAAGCACAAAAUCUUUACUGAGAGUAGUUAUUCUUGCAUCAUUUAACUUAGAAUCCUACCGUGCUGCUCUCCCUGAAGCUUGCAGGAUAAAUGGCACUUUUACAACCCACCGGAAAUUAAGUGCUAUUUGACUGACAGCAUUAUAGCUCUCUUGGAAAAGUCUGUGGCCACCGCUCUCAGUUCUCAAAUUUGAUCAGCCCCCAGCCCUCCCAGAACAUGCAGGAAGUCAGGUCACUAGCCUAGUUAGCAUUCCUGUGGUUAAACCUCAUUCUGGAUAGACAUUGAAUGUUGUUGGCUGGACAGGCUUUCAGAUCCAAAGGCAGGUACCUCUGUGGAGCCUCAUGGGGCCCCUCCCAGGGAGGGGUUGAUUUGGAGGUCCAUGGCACCGCAAGAUGAGUAGACCAUUUUCAGGACUGGCCCUGGGGCCACUGCUCCCCUUAUCCAUUUCUCAGCUGGGGAGGCUUCCCUAUACCUGUUUGUGCUGUGGGUAAAGUCUGAAAGGCUCUCCUGUUGAUAGAAGCCCUCUGCAAAUGCAGUCUCAUCAGCCUAUUGAAAAGCAGUAAUACUCCAUUGUUUCUCAAAGAAUCCUUGCAAUUAGAGGAGGCAGAGGAGAAAUUAUUACAGAGCUAAGUUAUUAGAUCCGUUCCAUGGAACAUUUUUUAAAAACCAAGCUCAUUUUCCUGAGAGAAAAUUUAAUGCAAUCGCUCUCUCUUAAAGCACCUGAUGCCACCACUCUGCCUCUAGCUGUAAGCUGUCGACCGAAAACAAGGGGGUUGCUGUGAUGAGAACAUGGCUGGGGGUGUGCGCCAGGCAGGACAACGCCAAGAAGCCAAAAAGAACAAGAGGGAAAACAAUGAAGUGAGAUCCACCCAGAUGGUAAACAUAGCUCUAGAACUCAACAAACACACACGUGGGCCCCCCCUUCGGUGGGAGGUGUGGAGGGAGUGGGGGUAGCAGCUCACAGGUCAGUCUAGAAAUGAACAGAAACUCGUAGGGGUCCAAGAAGACUGCACCCUAACUGGGGUCGCUAUCACCAUGGUAUGUCUGGGAGCCCCCCGUUGAGUGUCUGCUCUGGCCAAGGCUGGGGGAUGGGUGUAUCAGAACAAAGAAUUCAUAGGAUCCAGCAAGAGCCAUCCCCUCUGCCCGCUUUCUGCAAUUAUUAGCAAUAGUAGGAGUGGCUACAGUUUCCUGAGUGCUUACUCUCCUAGGCACUGAGCCCUCACAAAGUAGGUAUGAUUCCCGUUUUAUAGAUAAAGAAGCUGAGUGACAGUGAAGUUAAGUGAAAAAAUCCUGUAGCAGGUGCAUAAACCACGAAUUAAACCCUGCUGAGAACAUCUCAGGACUUUCAAUUCUCUGGGUUAACUAGGUCCUCAUUGCACAUGGUGGAUCAAGGAAGGUGAUUUUUUUUUUUUUUUUUUUUUUAUGAUUUGGGAGUUGUUGUGAGCUUUUUAAAACUAUACACCAUGUUCAAAUUCAACUGUUACCUGUGUUAUUCAUAUUACUAAAUCAUUUAUUUUGACUGAGUAAAAGGAAUUGGUUUAGAGAGACACUUAAUGUAAUCUAUUCUUCAAAUUUGUGGAGAUUUUUGUAACGCCCUCAAUGUUUCUUUUUAGUGGGUGUGGGAGAGCCGGGGACAGGAAGGAAGGUGGGGUGUUAAAAGGCAAACAUAGAAAAGAUUCUUCAUAAAAAAAGAAAACACGUCUAGAAAUGAUUGCUCCAUAAACAAAACAUGAGUGCACACAGCAAUUUCAUGUUCUCGUUCCACCCACUCGGUUGUUCUUAAUGAUUCAAGAACAGAACUGCCUGGGCAGAUUUACAGGCUCUGCGUUCCUGACAUCUGUGCCGAAACAAGGCUAUGUGUGUAUGUGCGUGUGUGUGUGUUCACAGAGCGCUUGCUUCUGCUGGGGUGGGGGUGGGGGGCUGUGUGGAAACACAAAUACCUUGAUUUGAAUUUUACCUUUACCAUGAUUUAAAUGAAAAUACAUGCAGUUUAUUCUCCCAUAUGCAUCCAUGGUCUGUUAGGAUAUAAGAAUAGGUGCUGGCAAAGAAGACAGGGUAGCCUUGGAGUCUGGGGUUUGGAUGAGAUGUGAUGAUCACACAAUCACGUGUUAAAAACCACGACUUCUCCAGCUCUCCUCACUGUCUCCUCACUCUCCUCACUGAAAGCCAGGCUUCAACGUCAGUCUCUUGCUGGAAAUCUUUGGGUUGUUGGGAUCGGUGCUUUAGCAAAUUAUUCUUCUGGGUCAGUGUCAGUGGAGAGCGGGGUUGUGGCUGGGGUUUCCAGGCCCAGGGCAAGCGGCCCUUGACUUGGGCUUCCUGAGUUUCUCAGUUGUGGUUUUGGGAAUGUCAUACUCUCUCCAGUCCCCUUUCUUUCAAGGGGGAGAUUUGCCUUCCAUUAGACACUUUUCCUAGAUUUAUAACUUCCUCCAACCCUUUUCUUCCAUGGCUUUGCUUCCCCCAGACUGUCAUGGAGAUAGUCAGAAGCCUGACCAUUUCUUGGAAGGAAGACCUCCAGACUGACCUCCCUGUCUCUCCACCCCAACUUGGCCAUCAGGAAUCACCUGGCAAGCUAUGCCCAGGUACUAGUGAUCACAGGCUGGUACCUUUGCUACCUGAUAACACAAUAAUCCUGUGAUUUAGAUCCUUCAUUUUGCCUCUGAGACUUAAGAGUGGAGAAGUCACUCUCCCAAGGUAACUGAACUUGUCAGUAGGAAUAUCUAGGAUUCAUACCCAGGCUGGUCUGAUGUUCUAGCCAAGUUCCUGUCACUCUCUUUCAGAAGGUGAUCUGAAGUUAGACCUAUGACUUUGUGUUUCUGUGUUGCAGAAACUAUAGAAAUGCCAAAUCUCCACUGUUUAAGAGCCUGAGGCGGAAGGAGAAGCAAGUAAAAUUAUGAUUUGGUAUUUGAAAAUCAUGUGAUUUUUUAUUUUCACACUGAUGCUAAAAGAUUGGCUAUUAUUUUAGUGGGAUACUCAUCUCUUUGGCCUUCAACCUUUCAAGAUAGAUUCCACAUCUUUAGGGGCUAUUUUCAUACUGGGUCCUAUCUGAGGCUCUGGUUUGUUGUCCCAUGGUCUUAACUAAUAUUUACCAAUCUUGGGGAAAGGAAGAGGGAAAAGCAAAAAGGACAUAAGUAUACGGUUUGAGAAAAUGGAAAGAUUUUUAGGUUACAAGUUUUAUUGUAACCAGCUAACUUUAUACAAACACAGCAUCCAGUGGACUUAAAAUUCUAAUCCUUUAUAUCAUGCUAAAUCGAUUUUUGGUUCAUAUCAGUGAAUAGAUCCAGUUUUACAGUUUUUGUUCAAUAUUAUUUUCCAUAUAGAGUUCCAUAUAUUUACAUACUUUCUUCUAAUUUUUUAAGCACAUAUAAUCUUAUUUCAUUUUUUAAAUUCUCUUCUUCUUUUCUUCUUCUUCUUCUUCUUCUUCUUCUUCUUCUUCUUCUUCUUCUUCUUCUUCUUCUUCUUCUUCUUCUUCUUCUUCUUUUCUUCUUCUUCUCCUUCUCAGAGAGAGAGAGAGAGAGCCCAGAGCAGGGGCAGAGGGAGAAGGAGAGAGAGAAUCUUAAGUAGGCUUCAUGCCCCCAAUAUGGGGCUCAAUUUCCAACCCUGAGGUCGUAACCGGAACCAAAAUCAAGAGUCCACUGCUUAACUGACUGAGCCAGCCAGGUGCCUCUGAUCUUAUUUAAUUCUUGCCAUCACCCUGUUAAGUUGAAAAUUUUAUUUUGUGGCCGAGAGAGGUUAAGGAACUAGCCCAAGGUCACAAGUCUAGUGUAGAGCUGGGACCCGGACAUACUUUCAGUGGCUCUGGAGCACCCCAUGUUUUGAUAUUGGUUAGAGUCACAAAGAUUUUUCUAAAGACAAAAGGUUCUCCACCUGAAAAGAAAAUGAUCCAUCAACAUUUACCUUCUUGAGACCCAGGUUUUUCAUCUCUUUUUUCACUUGAUCACCAGUUUCCAUGGCCAUCAGGGUGCUCAUGUAAAUAACUACACAGGACGGUCACUCGUUUCUCACAGCAAUGUGCGGAGAUGAUGUUUGUUCUUUUGUUCAUUUGAUCAUCAUCAUUCAUUCAUUAAUUAACUCAUUUAUCCAACAGCCCUGUGAAGAAGAACCACUAUAGUGUUAACACUAAUGGGCAGAACAAUCCUCCAGUGAUCCCUCAUGUGGUUUGUUACUUGGAGACUGUCGCUCACUAGACUCCUCACAUCUAUGCAAGGGACGAGUAAAGAAUAUUCUAAAUUAAUUGGUAGCUUAGGGUGUAAGUGCACGAAAACAUUUUAAAAUUCUAAUUUUUAUGCCUUUUGGGGGCCUUGUGCUAUUUGUGUGUAUAUGGACUUACAAACAGAUAUGCGUGCUUGCUGUAAAAUAUUGCAACAUUGCUGACAUAUGUGAUACAGAGAGUGAGAAUCUCCAGGAGUUAGGAACCACCCUCUGACCCACACUGGAGAAGGCUAAUCCUUCCAUUCUAUGUAUAGGACAACAUUAUGUUAUAUAUACUAAAUCUGUAUAGAUGAUGUUAAUGUAAAGUUGCAGGAAUCUUGUUUUGGAUUUCAACUUUUUUCUAUGCAUAAUUAAGUGUAUUUAAAAUGCUUUAAAAUAAAUUAUGA